CAGUGAACUUGAAAAAGUCACACAUAUGCAAGCAGGAUUGGGCCCCAGGACUGCUCAUCUAGAUGAGAGCAUCACCCAUGAGGAGCUAUGUGAUGCCCUCAAAGCUUUUAUAUCCACGCACACUGUCUGGUGGAUGGCUACUUUAUAAAUCUACAGGUGGAUGGGGUAGCCGUAAGCUCGCCCUUGUGUCACCCGAUGCUGGGUAUACAGGCAGAU